AUGAACGCUGGCGGCGUGCUUCACACAUGCAAGUCGCACGGGAAACCUUUUAAUGAAGCUUCGGCAGAUUUAGCUGGUUUCUAGUGGCGGACGGGUGAGUAACGCGUGGGUAACCUGCCUUAUACAGGGGGAUAACAGUCAGAAAUGACUGCUAAUACCGCAUAAGCGCACAGGACCGCAUGGUCCGGUGUGAAAAACUCCGGUGGUAUAAGAUGGACCCGCGUUGGAUUAGCUUGUUGGUGGGGUAACGGCUCACCAAGGCGACGAUCCAUAGCCGGCCUGAGAGGGUGAACGGCCACAUUGGGACUGAGACACGGCCCAGACUCCUACGGGAGGCAGCAGUGGGGAAUAUUGCACAAUGGGGGAAACCCUGAUGCAGCGACGCCGCGUGAAGGAAGAAGUAUCUCGGUAUGUAAACUUCUAUCAGCAGGGAAGAUAGUGACGGUACCUGACGAAGAAGCCCCGGCUAACUACGUG
rnacentral:rRNA from 1 species